GUCAUCUCUCACAUGGCUGUUUGUGAUGAUGAUCCUGUUGCUACAUGGGUCUCAUCUCAUUGCUCUCAACCUAUUUCUGAAGCAUGUGAUGAUGUAUCAGUUGUUAACUUUGACACUGUAACUGAUGCCUCUUUCUCUAAUGUUCCUGUUUCCAAUGAAUUACAUGACCCAGUGGUUCACCCUGAUACUGCCAAUCAUUAUUUUACCAGGUUUGGUAGGGUAAUUAGACCCGUUCGCAGAUUAAUUGAGUCCAUGGUUCAAUUGGAAACCAUACUUGGUAUGGAGCCUGGAUCUCCUGUUAUUCAUGUUUAGGUCUGUAUUUUUCAUUGCGUUGCCUAUGAUGAUGAUGAUGUUUACUAUAUGUUAUGUUUAAAACUAUAUGUUUAAGCAAAUGGUCUGAGUGUUUCAAAGUGUAAUGGGCACUUUGUCUAUGCCUACAACAUGUGUGGAGGUUUGGCCAAUCUCUUUCACGUUUGUAUCCUAUGGUUGGGUAACUUUCUACGUUGAUGUCUGCAUUUUUUUUUUUCCUGUCAUGUAGGCCGAGUGAUUCUUAUGACCAGUGCUUUGUGUUUACCUUCAUAUUUUGUGUAAAUUCUGGGGGGUGAGUGUAACAGGUAUAGAAAAUACACUGUUAAAUAUAAGAAUUCACACAAAAUUGUAUUUAUCUCAUAUGGUUACCUGAUGUAAAAAUGAGCGCUUCCCCUUUAAGAGUUGUGAUGCCACAUGUGAUUUAACUUCCUCUGCUGCUCCCUCCUCUUCCCUUUUGUAAUGUUAUCUUGUGGAAGAGCCGGUCCCACAUUGAAGCCCUCCGUGUCUCUGCUCCCUCCCUCCUCUCUGCAGCCGUCUGACAGAUCGGCCUCACUGCUUUACCUGCUGUCUGUCUACUCUCCACAGGGGGCACUGGUGAGCUGGACAGUGGACGGCUCAAAGGUGAAGGACCAGGGUUCUUCUGGCCCAGAAGAACACAAGCAGCACCUUGACUUCUUCAGCAAAGAACUGUGAAAAAGGGGGGAGGAGUCUGUGCUGUCUCUAUUAAAAUGUAGAGUUUCAAUUCUAA